GCUGGGUGUGGUGAUGCACACCUGUAGUCUCAGCUACUUGGGAGGCUGAGGUAGGAGGAUAACUUGAGCCCAGGAGGUGGAGGUUGCAGUGAGCCAAGAUCAGGCCACUGCACUCCAGCCUGGGCAACAGAGUGAGACUCCGUCUCAA
ensembl:misc_RNA Metazoa_SRP Metazoan signal recognition particle RNA